GGCGUCAAGGUGUGGCUCAGUCCAUUCCUCUGUUCAUGGCUUCAUGAGGCCACAGUGAUGAUAUCGAAUCGAGUGAUUCAGGAUCUUAACUAUAUUUGUAAAAUGCCAUUAUCUUCAAUGGAUUCUGUUGACUACCAGCAAGUUAGGCUGUGCUUCUCUCAAAAACGAAGGAUUAUGCAAAGUGCAGGCCAUGGAACCUCUGAGCUAAAUCCCCGGC